AGCUCCAAUAGCGUAUAUUAAAUUUGUUGCAGUUAAAAAGCUCGUAGUUGUAUACCUACGUAGCACUUCGAUAUAGUUUUAAACUAGACGAAAUGCUGGUAUUUGAGCACGGGAUCAUCUUACACUUAACUGUCGUAUUGAUGCUCAACGUGCAUUUUACUUUGAGGAAAUUAGAGUGUUCCAAGCAAACAUGGUUGUGAAUAUAAUAGCAUGGGAUAAUAUUUUUUGACCUGGAGUCGCUGCGUUAGCCUUGAUUCCACGGUAAUUUCGAAAGGGAUAUCUGGGGGCAUUCGUAUUAAGCUGUCAGAGGUGAAAUUCUUAGAUUUUCUUAAGACGAACAAAUGCGAAAGCAUCUGCCAAAGAUGUUUUCA
rnacentral:rRNA from 1 species